CCGCCCUUAGCUCAGCUGGAUAGAGCGUCGCCCUCCGGAGGCGAAGGUCAGAGGUUCGAAUCCUCUAGGGCGGG
rnacentral:tRNA from 1 species